rnacentral:rRNA from 1 species
UACAGAGGCCUCAAGCGUUAUUCGGAAUCACUGGGCUUAAAGCGUGUGUAGGCGGCUCGGUAAGUGUCUUGUGAAAUCCCACGGCUCAACCGUGGAACGGCUGGGCAUACUGGCGAUCUUGGGCCAACUAGGGGCAACUGGAACAAGCGGUGGAGCGGUGAAAUGCGUAGAUAUCGCUUGGAACGCCAAAGGUGAAAACAGGUUGCUGGGGUUGUGCCGACGCUGAGACACGAAAGCGUGGGGAGCAAACAGG